rnacentral:rRNA from 1 species
GACGAACGCUGGCGGCGUGCUUAACACAUGCAAGUCGAACGGAAAGGCCCUGCUUUUGUGGGGUGCUCGAGUGGCGAACGGGUGAGUAACACGUGAGUAACCUGCCCUUGACUUUGGGAUAACUUCAGGAAACUGGGGCUAAUACCGGAUAGGAGCUCCUGCUGCAUGGUGGGGGCUGGAAAGUUUCGGCGGUUGGGGAUGGACUCGCGGCUUAUCAGCUUGUUGGUGGGGUAGUGGCUUACCAAGGCUUUGACGGGUAGCCGGCCUGAGAGGGUGACCGGCCACAUUGGGACUGAGAUACGGCCCAGACUCCUACGGGAGGCAGCAGUGGGGAAUAUUGCACAGUGGGCGGAAGCCUGAUGCAGCAACGCCGCGUGCGGGAUGACGGCCUUCGGGUUGUAAACCGCUUUCGCCUGUGACGAAGCGUGAGUGACGGUAAUGGGUAAAGAAGCACCGGCUAACUACGUG